rnacentral:lncRNA from 1 species
GCAUCUCUCAAAUGACCAGAGAUGUUGAUCAUUUUUCAUAUGUUUAUUUGCUGCUUUUACUUCUUUGUCUGAGAAAUGUCUGUUCAUUUCAGAUGUCUGUUUUUGAAUUGGGUCUUUAAAUUUAGGAGGUCUGAUUUUUUAAAAUUCUUUAUAUAUUCUAGAUAGUAGCCCUUUGUCUGAGGUACAGCUGCUAAAUAUUUUUCCCACAUUGUAGGUUGUCUCUUAGCUUUGUUGGUGAUUUCUCUUGCAGUGCAGAAGCUUUUUAAUGAGGUGAGAUCCCAGUUGUUGAUUCUUUAUGCUAGUUCCCAUGCUACUGAGGUUUUGUUCAUAAAGUCUUUUCCUAUGCUAAUGUCUUCAAGAGUUCUACCUAACUUAUCUUCCAGCAAGUUUAGUGUUUCUGUCUUAAUAUUUAUAUCUUUAAUCAACUUCAAUCUUAGUUUAGUGCAUGGUGAUAGGUAUGGGUUUAGUUUUAAUCUUUGGCAGGUUGAAAUCCAGUUUUUCCAACACCAUUUAUUAAAGAGGCUACCUUUCCUCCAGUGAGGAUGGUUGGCUCCUUUGUCAAAGAUUAGGUGGCUGAGUAUGUCUGGAGUUGUUUCUGGAUCUUCUAAUUUAUUCCACUGAUCCUCGGGUCUGUUUCUUUGCCAGUACCAUGCUGUUUUUAUCACAGUAGCUUUGUAGUAUAGUUUCAGGUUGGAGAUUGUGAUCCUCCCUGCCAUGUUUCUGUUGCCUAGAAUUGCUUUUGGUAUUCUAGGCCUCUUCUGGUUCCAAAUGAAUUUUUGGAUUGUUUUCUCUAGUUCUGUGAACUAUAUUGUUGGAAUUUCAAUUGACAUAAGUUAAAUCUAUAUAGCAGUUUUGGAAGUAUGUCCAUUUUUCACUAUAUUUGUUCUUCCUACCCAGGAGCAAGGGAUGCCUUUCCAUUUUCUUAUAUCCUCUUUGAUCUCUUUUUGCAGAGUGCUGUAGUUUUCAGUGUAGAGGUCUUUUGCUUCUUUUGUUUGAGUUCAUAAUCAAAUACCAACCACGAUGGGCCAAUGUGCUUUUAUUGAAGAGUUUUUCUUCACUUUCCCAGUGGGUUUCAGUUUUCAUUGUGGAGCAUCAGAAAGGCCCUCUCUGUUGUUCACUUCUUCUCUAUCUUCUGGGGCUCAUAACCAUGCCCUUUAUGUUCCCCCUGACACUUCUGCUGUGGGGAUUCAGAUGCCUUGCACGGCAUGGUGUCUGUGCCAUGUGGUCCACUAAAUUGCUAUUAAUUCUUAUAUAUCUUGUUGGUUAUAAUUUUUUGCUGGGUGUUUAAGACCAAGUUAAAGUGAGACUUGUGUUAAUCAAAAUUAACUUCCCACCAUUAUUAAGGUCAUUGAAGCCUCCUCAGGGUUACUUUUGGGACCAUGUGCAGAGCCUUUUAGCUCUCCUGUCAGUGUCAUUUGCCAGCAUGAGUCAUGGUCUUGCUUGACUGUAUGGCUUUUCUUGGAAUCAUGGGAGACGUUUUUCUCUUUGGCGACCUCCUUUUAGCACAGUGUACAUUGGUUGACUCCUGUCCUCUGGCGUCUAACAAUCUCCCUGCUCAGGAGGUUGGGUGACUCACCUGAGUUGUAGAAUAUUAUAGUGAGGUCUCUUCAUGUUCUGUUGUCCUUGGAGGGCUAGAACCAUAAUAUUGACUGAUUUUUAAAUUCAGUUAUCUUUUUUAGCUUUGGUUCCUAACUAAGCCUCAGUUUUUGAACACCUAGGAGGUCACCAGUACACCAGUACUGAAGUGGAAGAGUAGGUUUAACUAUUUUGACCUUAUCUGGAUAUUAUGUAUUUUAAAUAUAAAGUACGACCAGAAAACUGUUAUUGUUUUUAACCAUGAUUGUCUUAAAAGUCAAAUUUUUAUAGGCUAUAAUUAGGUAACAGCCAUAAAGUUUAAUAGGGAAAAUUUGAAAUUAGGAGCAUAAUAAUUAUGUCGACAUUAUUAGGUUAGAACCAUUGAGGUUUUUAUAUCUAAAAGUAUAUUUAAAUUUUUAUUUUAAUUUUGAAUAUCUUGUCACAGAAAAGAGCUGUACUUAGUUAGAUAUGUAUUUGUUUAUUAUCUUUCUCAUUAUAAAGCUGAGUUUGAAGCCUUGCUUUUUACUCUUUUAACUUAUAUUUGGAGAAAAAUCAACUUUUUACAAUCUUCUAAAUUGGCCCAGGUUUAUUAAAUAAAUUCUAAAGGUGACACUUUGGGGACAAAUAUUGAGCUAUUCAUAAGCAUUUAUGAUGUAUUAUAUGUCUUGUAUGCACUUUAAGAUCUCUCUUAUAUACAUUUGGGGAGAGAUAAACGGAGAAAGAAAAGAGAAAAAAGAUAGGAUCCUGUAUAGAUCUCCUUAGAUCAGGCUGUGUGAGCCAUCUGCCUUAUUUUAGGAUUACACGGUUACACUGCAUGUACAGCCCAUGCCAAACAGAAGUUAGGCCACAGCCUGUCUCACUUUGUGUCAUGACUAGCCUAGGCAUCUUUGUCAGUCACACACAGAGAUCUAUUGUUUAUAUCCAUAACAAGUAUCCUUGUUCCAGUAGCUACUUUAAUCUUUAUCAACAGAUCAGGAAGGCAGGGAAAAGGAGUUGUAUAUAACAGUUCAGCUUUUAUUCAAGAAUUUACCCUACCACACCCUGCCAGGGUCCCCAGUCUUGGAACAUGCCAAAUCAGCCCGCUGCAGACAGGCAGGUCUGUGCACGCCCUACUGAGGUCCUGAGUCGCACUGAAGAUGCAGAAUCACCCCGCUGCAGACAGGCAGGUAUGUGCACACCCUACCGAGGUCCUGAGUGGCGCGGAAGACACCGAAUCACCCCGCUGGAGACAGGCAGCCACCUGAUUCCACACUACAAAGAUGCAGAGGACACCAGACCACCAGACCAAGUUACUGAGUCCCACUGUUCCUGGCCCAGAGGUAGGGGGUUCUGAGCCAUCAUCCCACUGCUCCUGGUCCAGAGGAAGGGGCUUCCCAGUCACCAUCCCUCCCGCUGCUCCCAGCCCAGAGGAAAGGGCUUUUGGGCCACCUUCUGUCCUGCUGCUCCUGGCCCAGAGGAAGGGUCUUCCAGGCCACCAUCACUCCCACUGCUCCUGGCCCAGAGGGAGGGGCUUCUGAGGCACCAUUCCACUGCUCCUGGUCCGGAGGAAGGGGCUUCCCGGCCACCAUCCCUCGCACUGCUCCCAGCCCACAGGAAAGGACUUUUGGGUCACCAUCCCUACCGCUGCUCCCGGCCCCUGUCCCACCUCACCCAGCUCAGAGGAGGUAAUCCGUGCAGGUGGUAACAGCCCCACGCCCCAGUCGAAAUGAGAAAACACAUAAAUAAGUCUCAAAACCAGACUUCCAGAUCACCUACAGCAACUCCAAAGAGAAAUGAGAUGGAACACUCUGAUACUCAACCACCUGGACCCAAUGAACUGGCAACCAAAGGGGAUCUGGAAAAAAUGAAAUCAGAAAUAAUUUCUCAGAUAACAGGAGAAAUUGUGCCCCUAGUGCAAGACAUGAUUAAUAAAUCUAGAGAAGAGCUCAGGAACAUGAUGGAAUCCCAACAUAAGAAACAAAUAGAAUCCAUAAAACAGAUGCAAAUAGAUUUCCAGGACAUGAAAAAUUCCAUUGAAAGUCAACACAGCAGAAUGAGCCAAUGUGAGGACAGAAUUUCAGAUAUAGAAAACAAGCUUGCAAUUAGUGACCAGGAAAAGAAAAACUGCUUCAAAAUUAUAAGGGAAUGUGAGAAAUCAAUCCAGCAGCUGCUAGAUGAUGCAAAGAAGAAUAACAUAAGACUGAUUGGGCUCAAUGAAGAAACAGGAGAGAGUAGAGAUGACAUAAAAAAAUCUCUUCACAGAAAUAAUGGCAGAACACUUCCCAAGCAGGGGAAAAGAGCUUGACAUACAGAUAAGUGAGGCAUAUAGGACUUCAAAUAGCCUUCAUCAAAAAAAUCUACACAUAGGCAUAUAAUUGUUAAGAUUCCAGAAACACAACAGAAGAACAAAGUUCUCUAAGCAGUCAGAGAAAAGAAACAAAUCACAUACAAAGGAAAGCCCAUCAGAAUCACAGCAGACUUCUCAACACAAACCAUCAAGGCACGAAGACCUUGGAGUGACAUAUUCCAAGCCCUAAAAGAAAACAGCCUCCAACCCAGAUUGAUGUACCCUGCAAAACUAUCUUUCAAAAUGGAUGGAGAAAUAAGAUACUUUCAUGACAAAGAGCACCUUAGGAACUUCGUGAAUACCAAACCAGCACUCCAAAGAAUUUUACACAAUAGCCUAGGAACAGACAUUGAGGAUCACAACCUCAGGAAGCAAAGCAGAAUGAACCCAUCUGGCAUGACAAGAAAUUAAAUGGAAAGGGGGAGAACCCAACAAAAAGAAAAAGUCAUGGCAAUGACAAGUCAAUACAUUUCAGUUAUAACCAUCAAUGUUAAUGGUCUCCAUUCACCAAUCAAAAGAAAUAGACUGGCAGAAUGGGUCAAGAAGCAAAAUCCAACAAUAUGCUGCAUACAAGAAACACACUUCAUUCAAAAGGAAACUCAUAGACUGAAAGUUAAAGGGUGGAAAACAAUACUGCAUGCAACAGGAACCUGAAAAAAAGCAGGAGUAGCUAUCCUCUUUGCAGAUCAAGUAGAUUUCAAACCAACACUGAUUAAAAGAGAUGAAGAAGGACACUACAUCCUUGUAAAGGGAAGAAUCCAAGAGGAAGAGAUGACAAUCAUAAAUAUCUAGGCACCAAACACUAGUGCACCCAACUAUAUAAAACAAAUACUAACAGACAUAAAAAGUCAUAUAUGCACUAAUACAAUUGUAGUGGGGGACCUCAACACCCCACUGUCACAAAUAGAUAGAUCAACUAACAAUAAGUAAUGAAAUACUAGAACUCAAUCGAACUCUUGAACAAAUGAACUUAACAGAUGUUUACAGAGUCUUCCACCCCACAAACUCAGAAUACACAUUCUUCUCAGCUGCACAUGGGUCAUUCUCAAAAAUAGACCACAUACUCACACAUAGAACAUGUUUAAGUAAGUGCAAAGGAAUUGAAGUUAUCCCCUAUAUAUUAUCAGACCAUAGUGCGAUGAAAUUGGAGAUCCAUAGCAAAAGAAACUCAAAAAAUUUCAUAAACACAUGGAAAUUGAACAACACACUUCUGAAUAACCAAUGGGUCACAGAGGAAAUUAAAGAAGAAAUCAGACAGUUCCUUCAAUUAAAUGACAAUGACAAUACAACAUACUGGAAUCUAUGGGACACAAUGAAAGCAGUCUUACGAGGGAAGUUCAUAGCAGUGAAUAUGCAUAUUAGGAAAACAGAAUGAUCCCAAUUAAACAACCUGAUGCUGCACCUCAAGCUUCUAGAAAAAGAAGAGCAGGACAACCCCAAAGCUCAUACAAGGGAGGAAAUUAUAAAGAUCAGAGGAGAAAUCAAUGCAGUGGAGACUAAGAGAACGAUACAAAAAAUCAAUGAAGCCAGAGUUGGUUCUUCUAAAGAAUCAACAAAAUUGACAAAACUUUAGCCAAAUUUAUCAGAAGAAGGAAAGAAAAGGCCCAAAUCCAUGCAAUUAGGAAUGAAAAGGGUGAAAUGACAACAGACCCAGCAGAAAUCCAGAUGAUCAUCAAUACUUACUUCCAGAACCUAUACGGCAAUAAGAUGGACAACAUAGAAGAAAUGGACAGAUUCCUAGAUACAUAUGAAUUACCAAAGUUGAACGAAGAAGACCUAAAAAUUCUGAACAACCCAAUAUCAACCAAUGAAAUUGAAAAUGUUAUUAAAAACUUAUCAACUAAGAAAAGCCCGGGCCCUGAUGGCUUCACUGCUGAAUUCUACAAGACAUUUAGAGAGGAACUGCUGCCACUACUGUUUAAACUCUUCAACGAAAUUGAAAGGGAAGCAAUACUCCCAAAUUCAUUCCUGGAAGCAAGCAUCACCUUGAUCCCCAAAGCAGAGAAAGACCCAACUGAAAAAGAGAACUGUAGGCCAAUCUCACUAAUGAACAUAGAUG